UCAAGCAAGAAAGAGCACAAGGAGAAUGCCUUGGCACUAGGAGCCGAUGAAAGACGUGGUAAGCUGCGAAAAGCUUCGGGGAGGCGCAAACAGCCAUCGAUCCGGAGAUAUCUGAAUGGGGAAACCUACUUGAGCAAACCUCAAGUAUCCAUACGUGAAUCCAUAGCGUAUGGAAGGGAACGCUGUGAACUGAAACAUCUAAGUAGCAGUAGGAGGAGAAAGAAAACUCGAUUUCCUAAGUAGCGGCGAGCGAACGGGAAAGAGGCCAAACCGAAGGACCUGGUUCUUCGGGGUUGCGGACUGCAAUUAGCAUUGCUGAGAGAUAGACGAAUGGUUUUGGGAAAGCCAGCCGUAGACGGUGAAAGCCCGGUAGACGAAAUCUUGAAGCAGCGAGCAGGAUCCAGAGUACCACGAGACACGAGAAACCUUGUGGGAAGCCGGGGGGACCACCCCCCAAGCCUAAAUACUCCCUAGUGACCGAUAGUGAAGCAGUACUGUGAAGGAAAGGUGAAAAGGACCCCGGGAGGGGAGUGAAAGAGAACCUGAAACCUUGUGCUUACAAACAGUCAAAGGCCUACGGGCUGAUGGCGUACUUUUUGUAGAACGGUCCGGCGAGUUACUAAUGCCAGCGAGGUUAAGAUGUCAGAAGCAUCGGAGCCGAAGGGAAACCAAGUCUGAAUAGGGCGUAGAGUUGGUAUUAGUAGACCCGAAACCGGGUGACCUAUCCAUGUCCAGGUUGAAGGAACCGUAAAAGGUUUUGGAGGACCGAACACACAUGUGUUGAAAAACGUGGUGAUGAGGUGUGGAUAGCGGAGAAAUUCCAAUCGAACUCGGAGAUAGCUGGUUCUCCUCGAAAUAGCUUUAGGGCUAGCCUCGAGCUGGAGUCUAACGGAGGUAAAGCACUGAACUGACGCGGGGCCCAAAAAGGUUACCAACUCAUAUCAAACUAAGAAUGCCGUCAAGAUACCCUCGGGAGUCAGUCUGCGUGAGAUAAGUCGCGUGGACAAAAGGGAAAGAGCCCAGACCGACAGCUAAGGUCCCAAAGUACGUGUUAAGUGGAAAAGGAUGUGGGAUUUCAUAGACAACUAGGAUGUUGGCUUAGAAGCAGCCAUACAUUUAAAGAGUGCGUAAUAGCUCACUAGUCGAGAAAACCUGCGCCGAAAAUGUAACGGGGCUAAAACACGACACCGAAGCUACGGAUUCCUUACAAAGUAAGGAGUGGUAGAGGAGCAUCCUGCAAGGACGAAGCCAAAGUGAGAGCGAUGGUGGACGAAACAGGAGAGAGAAUGCCGGAAUGAGUAGCGAGAUACAUGUGAGAAACAUGUAGGCCGAAUAUCUAAGGAUUCCUGGGUAAAGCUAAUCUUCCCAGGGUUAGUCGGGGCCUAAGGCGAGGACGAAAGUCGUAGUCGAUGGAUAACAGGUUGAUAUUCCUGUACUACACAUAAUCAGAACUGUGGGGACGCAGAAGGAUAGGGAAACCGGGGAAUGGAAAGACCCGGUCAAGCGUAAAGCUGUGGGAGAUAGGCAAAUCCGUCUUCUGUAAGUGAAACGUGAUGAGGACUGAAAAAAAGUAAGGAAGUUUCCGAAUCCACACUGCCGAGAAAAGCCGCUAUUGCGUUAUGUGUACCCGUACCGUAAACCGACACAGGUAGAUGAGGAGAAAAUCCACAGGCCGACGGGAGAAGUGUUGUUAAGGAACUCGGCAAAAUGACCCCGUAACUUCGGGAUAAGGGGAGCCUCGCAAGAGGCCGCAGAAAAGAGGCACAAGCAACUGUUUAGCAAAAACAUAGGUCUAUGCGAAACCGUAAGGUGAAGUAUAUGGGCUGACGCCUGCCCGGUGCUGGAAGGUUAAAAGGAGAGGUCAGCGCAAGCGAAGCUUUGAAUUCAAGCCCCAGUAAACGGCGGCCGUAACUAUAACGGUCCUAAGGUAGCGAAAUUCCUUGUCAGGUAAGUUCUGACCCGC
rnacentral:rRNA from 1 species